AUGGGGAGGGGACAUGUCGGGGGGGGACAGGGACACGGACCGUGGGGACAGAGCCACGGGGGCAUGGGGACAGACACAUGGCCCAUGAGGACGGACACACGGACCGUGGGGACAGACAUGGGGACACAGGGACGACGCACAGGACAUGGGGACAGACAUGGGGACAGACGCAGGACACGGGGACGGACACUCAGGACGUGGGGACAGACAUGGGGACAGACAUGGGGACAGACGCAGGACACGGGGACGGACACGCAGGACGUGGGGACACACAGACACGUGGCUGAUGGGGACACGGGGACAGACGGACGGCCCCUGGGGACGGGCAGAGGGGACUCCACACGCCCUGGCCCCGGUGCCCUCGCCCCCACCUCCAGCAGCCGUCCCUCCCAGCACGUCCCAGUGCCUCCCAGUACCAUCCAGUGCAUUUCAACAGAUCCCAGUUCCAUGCAAGCGCAUCACAACACAGCCCAGUGCCGUCCCAUCGCACCCCAGUACAUCCCAGUGUCACUCCAGUGCACUCUGAUGCGUCCCGGUGCAUGCCAGUGCCAUCCCGCCGCAUUCCAGUGUGUCCCAGUGCAUUCCAAUACACCACAGAUCCAUCCUGGUGCAAUCCCACUGCAUUCCAGUAACAUCCCAGUACAAACCAGUGCCAUUCCAGUGCAUCCCAGUGCCACUCCAGUACAUCCCAGUGUGGCUCAGUGUAUCCCAACACCAACAUGCACACCAGUGCAUCCCAGUUCUAUGACAAUGCACUACACUGCCUUCCUAUUGCAUCCCAGUGCCUCCCAGUACCACGCUAGUGCAUUCCAGCACAGCCCAGUUCCAUCCUGUUGUAUCCCCAUCUGUCUCAAAGCAUCCCAGUGCCACCCCAGCACAUCCCAAUGCAUUCCCAGUGCCAUCCUAGUGCACCCCAGUGUCCCUCAGUGCCAUGCCAAUGCAUCUCAGUGCCACCCCAGCACACUCCAGUGUUUCCCAGUGCACCCCAGUGCCACCCCAGUGCAUACCAGUACAACCCCGUGCCAUCCCAGUGCACCAUAA
rnacentral:lncRNA from 1 species